UGUAACACAAAAAAAUUAAUUCUAUUUAUUGCAUUUUUGGGAUACCCUUUGAGUAUUUUCAUAUUGUGACCGACCCAGCGCCAUCUUGUCACAUUUGCGACGUACAUCUGAUGAUCCAGAACAUGACGAGGACGAACAGGAAAAACAAUUAGGAAUAUAAUAUUCGGCGGACAAGAUAAAAGGAGGCCAAACGAGCUUACAUGGAUUGUGGAGCCAUAGGAGGAGAUACCAGAGCUUCAUCCAUCGUGGAUGUUUAUCCAGAGAACUGAAUCAUGUAAGUAUUAUGUAAAAAGUAUAAAGUAAAAUUUUAAAUGUAUAUAUAUUUUUCAUCACUUGGUUUGUCAUUGCAGGUGCCUAGAGAAAUGCAUGGAGUCCUUGCUCCCCACUAUGAUGAAUUCAUUGAGGAAGUCAGAAUGUGAUGGGAGGAUUGCUGCGCCAGGGUCAUUUUACAGAGUAUGAAAGAAGGCAAUAAAGCCACCAAUCAACAGGGAUAAAAUGGAAGCCAACUUUGCUCUGGUGAAGGCCCUUCCCAUUCUCUUUCCCCCAGUGGCACCUCCAUCAAAGAAACUGGGGUGUGCUAGUGAAGCUUUACUGCAUGUUCAGGAGAAGAUCCAAACGUCUUCAUCCAGAAGAGAGGCCUGUCAAGUCCAGUCUUGGUGUUCGAUGGCAGCAGAUGAAUCGUUGCUAUUGGUUUGAUGCCAGUGACGUUUGAAAAAGAAAAGCUUCACGAGGGUCUGAUUUUUCUAAAUGGCAUAUUAUUACACACUACAUCUGACAUACACAAAUUGCGUGGCCACCCUUCUGUCAUUCAGACAGAGAUCCUUCAGGAUACAAGUGGGACAUCACCACCACAUGAAAGAGCAUUAAAGUAAAGAAUUUGUUGGAAGAUAAACUGCUUUUGCAGGUCAAUGUUUAUGUCUGUUCUUUAGAUGAGUAUUCUAAUUGUGUUGUUAAAGAAAUAGUUGUAUUCCUAGUGCCUUUGGGUAAAUUUGUAUCACAAAUCUCAGUUUGUAAGUUGAAUAAAAGAAUCGAAAAGUGAA